GCAAUUGGCUUUCUUUUCAUUUCAUCACUGUUUGGCAUCUUUGCACCUUGAUUUAGGGAGGCAAAGAGCACAAGCAACUAGAGAGAGAGAGAGAGAAAUAAAAGGGGGGAAAGAGAAAACACAAAAACAGGUAUCUGCAUUCUGUAAAUGGGUUGCAGAAAUGAAAGUCAAGGAAGACUUUAUUGAUUGUAAGGACAUCCUAAGCUUACCAACACUGUGAGUAAAAACGGACCUAGCUAAUCAAAUAAAUCUGUUCUUGCAAUUAAAUGCAUAGAUAUCAAUGGGAAAAGAAAAUGACCGUGCAAUAAAAAGGUUGGAUGCAGCAUUGGCCACGAUGAAGAAUGCACGUUGCAACCUAAACAAGAAACCAGAAAGCAAUUGCCUUUUCUUUGCCUUUGCCUGGAGCGUGUGGAGUCUCAACAUUGCCUUCUCACUGAGCCGUUAAAACUAGACAAGUCUCAAGGAGGUUUUACUUCUGUUUGAAAACUUCAGUGGGGCUUCAAUAACUCCAUGGGGGGAAAGACAGCCAAACCUGGGACUGGAUCCUGGAAAUCCUUACUCACAUCUGGAUUCUGAAUGAUAUUACUUGGACCCAAAGUCCUCUGGGGAGUGUCACAAAUCUAUAAAAUGUUCCUGAGUGCUACAUUUUGCAUUUCGAUCUCUGAAUUGGUUGACAGAUGAGAAAAUACACAUUCACCCAGCCAGCUCCCUAAUGACUACAGAUGUGUGGAUGCUGAAGUGUGCAAGUCAUUCCAGUUCAGGUUGGCAGUAACUUUAAUUCAAUUUUGUUUUACCUCUGAUCUGCAUUUUUCUGAUGGUGUAAUCUGCCUUAGCUUUGUAUUUUUAUUAUUUCACCCACUUUUCGGUCAGACCACAGCACAUUUUGGGGGUACUCCCAACACAAAGACUCAUGGCAUAUAAAUUUGGAGAUCCAUCCUUUUUGAGAAUGGCAGCAUGUGGUACAAGUGGAGCUGAAAUUUUGUCAUAAACUGAUACAUAUAAUGAUGCCACGUUUCAGAGAGCCACAGUGCAUCUCUGAUGACAUUAUAUUGGCUUAACUGUAUACUGCAUUUAUGUGUGCUAUCAGGGCCUGAUCCAAAGGCCACCGAAGUCAAUAGAAGUAUUUUCAUUGACCUCAAAGAAGUCUGGAUCAGGCCCUAGGAGCAUGUGCUCUUCAGUGUUCUCAAAUACUGCAUAUUACGGGGAUCUAUGAUCCUUUCUAAUUCUUCAAGUGGAAGAGAACUGGAUGGGGUGGUCCAGAGAUGCAGAAUGCCACAUCCAUGGCAUUCUUAUAUUUCCCUCACAAUUGCGCAAAAGCCCCUCUACCGAGUUCUCGGUUGACAUGGGAAUAAAUUAUAAUCUACAAAGGGGAGAAUUUGCCCUGUAAAUUCUUAAAUCAUUAGAAUUAAAUUGUGGAAUGAGGUGACAUUUAUAGUCAAACUAAAUGAAAUCAGACUUCUUCCUCAAACUGCACCUAAUUCAUUCCAUCCACGAGAAGGGGAACACACGAAACCUGAAAGGGUGGAGAAAGCAGAAGAUCUGGCACAAGCGGUUGUAUUUAUAUGUAAUGAAAUCUUGGAAAAAUAAAAAGUGGGAGUAAGAACUACCCCUAAGCAGCUUUAAUUUGCAUGACCAUCAUUUACUGUGCACCUCAUUCUAGAAUAUACUAACCUUGGCAGACUUUUAAAGGUCAUGUUUAUAAAAGAUGAACUGAUUUGAAGAAAUUCUCUGUGUAGGCACUAGAUGAUUUGUCUUCAAGAGAAAACACAUAUGUCCUUGUCUUUCCAACUAUUUUCUUUUCAGAAUUAUUCAAAAAGGACAGAAGAUGGCCUCAAACUAUCAUUUACUAUUUUUCCCCUCAGUCCUCAAACCAUGCAGCACACCUUGGGCCCCUUCAUGGCAUGGAAGGAUUGGGAUUUGCAUCCAUUAGAACUAGACCAUGAACUUCACUCACGCACAGUAGCAGUAACUGAUAACACACAGUCUGGGUGAAUACCAUCUGUACAAUGCAAUAACAUGGUGGUAACACAGAAUUGUUUUGAUUUUACUGAUAUGCACUACUUUGUUAAAGGAGGAAGGAUCUCCCAUGAUAAAUAAUGAUUUACAAAAUGAAGUGAAUUCAAAGCGCACAAAGCACACAAAGAAGGGUAAACACCAUGGUGUAAAAUGGGGCACACUUUUGGGGCAUUCCCAGUAGAAAAGUAACCAUUAUUCUGAGUGACAUUCCCAACAAACAGUCAAAGGAAAAAUAAGCCUUUUGAACAGGGUACAUGAAAGCCAUGAAUCACUAGUGUCUCAAUGACAAGCAGAUGGCCUUCCAUCCAUCCUCCCAUCAUCAGAUCUCUGUAUGACUGAAAUCACGUGAGCAAGGGCCAUGCCAAAACUUGUCACAUUUACUCUUAACAAAACAUAAGCAUUUACAACUCUUCAUAAACAUUUUUGAUGGAAGUACAUAUUCUUCAAAAGGCAGUACUAUAAAAUUCCCUUCAUGAACCAACUCCCAGAAUUCUAAGGACACUGAACAGUCUUUAAAACCCACUCCUUCCUGGGAGCCAUCUAUUAAGGGAUGAAGAAUAAAGAGGUGAAGAAUACCAACAAUGAUUUUCAUCAUGGAAUUUAUGUUGUUUAGAGUAUGUGAGUAAAUGAGUUAGUCACUGUGGCUGAAGGGCUGCACAAGGCCUUAUGCCCUCAAAAUAGGGUUUCUAUUGAUGUAUCAUAAAUUAGUAAGAUAUUUAAGUUAAGUUUAAAUCAGUUAAAGUGCAUAUACUUUAUGGAUUUUCACUAGUCUAACUAGAUUUAAUUAAAAUUAGUUUAGUACCACCAUGCAAUUUUUCUAAUGUAGAUCAGUUCUAAAUAUUUAUAAUUUAAAAUCUAAAUCUAAAUAAAUCUAUAUAUUGUAAAUAUUUAAAUCUGAUCUACUUUAGAAAAGUUGCACCAGUGGUAAUGAACUAAUCUGAGAGCAUAUCAAUGCAGGCUAACUAUUUACUUUAUAAAUAUUCUCUAUAACUAUAUUUAACAGUUCAUUAGGCUAAAGGAAAUAAAAGAUGAAUGUAUUUAUAUAUAUUAGGAACAACUGCAAGUAAGCAAGGAGAAUUAUUUUAAAACUCAGAAACACCAUUUUCAGACCAAAAUAAGGAACAACAUACACACAGUAAACAUGGCCCCAUCAGCCUUCUAUACCAGCGGGCACAGUGGUGGGGGAAGUUGAAUCUCCUGAAGGAGUGCAGCAAAGGGCAAGCUCCCCCUGAUUUCUGGGGCACUCAGGAUAGAAUUCUGCCCCAGCCUUGGGCUGGACUUUGUGGUAGUGCUGAGCCCUUGGUGAGCACACUACUUAGCACUUACCAGCGUGAGUAAGGUUUGCACAAUCAGGUGCUCAGUGAUUUAUAGGUCCCAAUACCCAGUCCCACCAUAAUUCCUUUAGCAGUAGGCUAAAGCAAACCUCCCACAAGCUGUGUCUCCAAUCUUUUAGCCAGUUGAGCCCGCACAAGAACUGCAUGUGGUGGUUUGCCUCAACAAUCCUAUAAAGUCAUCUUUUAGAAUCCCCCAGGUCUGCAGAGCUGAAUUCUGUUAUAUACAGGUAAGAAUGUCUUGAGGAACGUACAGAGACCACUGAAAAUGACACACGUGAGGUAAAUGGUGAGCACUAGAGCUGCUCAGGAAAUUAUCUUAAUUUCCCCAAACUAUUUUUGACCAAAACAUUUUUUUUUAUUUUUGUUGAAUUGUUUGCAAAUUGUUGGGGGUUGUCCAAAAACCAACAAUUUUCCAGUUGAAAAAUGAGAAAAACAUGUUUCAUUUUUUUUUGACAAAAACACAAACAUUUUCUAUUCAUGAAAAUUUCCAUUUAAUCAAAAAGCCAUUUUUUUGUCUAAAAAAAAGUUUGACUAAAAAUGUUAUGACCAGUUCUAGGGUGUGCAUGUUAUUGCUAAAACUCUGAUUCAACCAAGAUUGUUAAGCACACAAGUAGUCCCAUUGACUUCAGUGUGACUCCAGCCAUUCUUAAAGCAAAGCACAUGCUUAAGUGCUUUGCUGAGUCGGGGCCUGUGUUAGCUCUAAUUUGUACUAGGAAUAAUAGUGAUUGCACACUUGGUGGAACGCAUAACAUGGUUCACAGUAUUUACAUAUGAACUGCACUUCUUUUUCUGAUUAAUUCUGGAGACACACCCUAGCAAAGCAUGGGAAACAAUAUGUAAUUGAUCUGCUAGACAGAGUACUCUGAGCACAUGCUUUUUUGGGGGUGAAACACAGACUGAGCCCUGAGAACAGAUAAUAUGCAUACUUUUCCUGAGCUACACAGAGCUCCUCUCAUUGCACAAUUUAGCCUAUGAAUAGGGAGCAAAUUCCAGGACAUUUUUCAAUUCAGUGUUUAUGUUGCCUCUUUAGCAAAUGAGACUCAGAUUUUUUAGAAAAAAAAUUCUAAAUGUUUAUACAAAAACUGUAGGAGCCACUGGAUUAAGUGAUGGGCUCCCCCUGGGGAAAGCCCUGGGUGUAUUAAUUGUUGACAUUAUUUUCAACGAUUGUACUUUGUGUUAAACAAAAGUGUCUGAAGUUCUUGAAUUUCCUCAUGGCCAUCUUUACGUUUGCUUUCCACUAUUCUAAAUUUUAAUUGUUAUUAACCUUCCCUUUUGAGAUUAUACAUUUUGUUCCCUAUUUUAUGAGCUGUAGUAGUCUGAGAUCACAAAAGUAAGAAGUUAUAAAUUAUUGAACUGUAUAUAUGUGUAUAUCAUUAUUUAUCAUAUCGCUAUUAUCAAAUAUAUAACCCAAGAAAAUAUGAACUAUCAGUUUGUCUGACCCUGCUUGAACUGAAUUAAGGGAGUCAGAAAGUCAGAUUUGAAAUUUAAGAAGUGAUCAGGGAUACAUUUAAAAAAAAAAUCUGUUUUACAUAUAACAAACUGCUGUGAACUCAUCUCAGAUUGUGGAUAAACAAUUUCAAUUGUACUGUGUUUUGCAAAGAUCAUUAUGAUAUUUUAACAGAAAUGAAAUAUCUAUUUUUGCUCAUCCCAUAACUCUGAUAAGUAAAUGCAAAAUUAUUUUAAUUAUUGCAAAGAUCAUUAUGAUAUUUUAACAGAAAUGAAAUAUCUGUUUUUGCUCAUCCCAUAAAUCUGAUAAGUUAAUGCAAAUUAUUUUAAUUAUAUGUAUUGAAACUCCAUGUACACCUAUGUCAGUAUGUAUAUUAUAAAUAAUAAAUAAUUGUUACCAGAGCUGGAUGAAUUAUUUAUUGAGGAUCAAUUAUCUGGCAAAUAUAGCACUUUUCUCUGUUUGUGACUUGUUGAAGAGCAAUCUUGUCUUCUCUGAACAUAUUCAUUCUUGCAAAUAUGUAUUGGAUAAUGAAUAACUUUUACCCUAGGACUGUGAACUUCUCACAUAGACUACUCGCUAUUAGUUAUUAGUGGUGUAUGACCAGCCAUCUGGUAUUGUUUUUGCUCCCUGUUUGGAUGACUGAAACUUUGUAAACAGGAGAAUGACAAAUGCUGAAAGUUGAACAUUGAAUAAAAAAUCAUUACUA